rnacentral:misc_RNA from 1 species
UACAGAGGGUGCAAGCGGUACUCGGAAGUACUGGGCGUAAAGGGCACGUAGGUGGUUUGUGAAGUUGGAUGUGAAAGCCCCGGGCUCAACCUGGGAACUGCAGCCAAAACUGGCAAGCUAGAGUACGGUAGAGGGUGGUGGAAUUUCCUGUGUAGCGGUGAAAUGCGUAGAUAUAGGAAGGAAGACCAGUGGCGAAGGCGACCACCUGGACUGAUACUGACACUGAGGUGCGAAAGCGUGGGGAGCAAACAGG